GGACUACACGGGUAUCUAAUCCUGUUCGCUCCCCUAGCUUUCGCGCCUCAGCGUCAGUUGCCAGCCAGGACACUGCCUUCGCCUUUGGUAUUCCUCCGGAUAUCUACGCAUUUCACCACUCCACCCGGAAUUCUAUGUCCCUCUCUGGCCCUCAAGUCCGGCAGUUUUCGAAGGCCCUCCUCAGUUAAGCCGAGGAUUGUCACUCCAAACUUACCGCACCGCCUGCACGCCCUUUACGCCCAGUAACUCCGGACAACGCUCGCCCCCUACGUAUUACCGCGGCUGCUGGCAC
rnacentral:rRNA from 1 species